AAUCAACGCUGGCGGCGUGCCUCAGACAUGCAAGUCGUACGAUUAAAGCUCUCUUCGGAGAGUGUAUAGAGUGGCGCACGGGUGAGUAACACGUAAGUAAUCUACCUUCGAGUGGGGAAUAACAGUCGGAACGACUGCUAAUACCGCAUAAUGCAGCGGCACCUAAUGGUGACAGUUGUUAAAGCAUUUAUGUGCUUGAAGAGGAGCUUGCGGCAGAUUAGCUAGUUGGUAAGGUAAUGGCUUACCAAGGCGACGAUCUGUAGCCGACCUGAGAGGGUGGUCGGGUCACACUGACACUGAAUAACGGGUCAGACU
rnacentral:rRNA from 1 species